rnacentral:rRNA from 1 species
AUGGCAAACUGCUUUCGGAGACAGUCGACAACAAUGCCUGUAACCCCUAGGAGCGAGGGCGAUAUCCGCCAGCAGGCCGACCUCCGGAGCUUCGCCUUCAAGGACCUCAAGGAAGCCACCAUGAACUUCCGGCCGGACAGCGCGCUCGGCCAGGGCAGGUCCGGAUCGGUGUUCAAAGGGUGGGUCGACGAGACCACCUUUGCUCCGGCCAGCCGUGCCGCCGGUAUGCCCAUCGUUGUCAAAACACUUGAGCAGAAAGACUUCCAAGGCCACAUUGACUGGCUGGCUGAAGUGAAACGCCUUGGCCAAUUGUCACACCCCAAUCUGGCGAAGCUUCUAGGGUACUGCCUCGGAGACCAUUAUCUGCUCCUCGUUUAUGAGUUCGAACCGCAAGGAAGCUUGGAGAAUCAUCUUUUCAGUAGGGGCUCAAAUUUACAAUCACUGUCAUGGGCUCUGAGGAUGAAGGUUGCUCUUGGGGCAGCCAAGGGGCUCGCGUUCCUCCAUAGCGACAAGGCCAAUAUCAGCUACGGUGGUUUCAGGACGUCGCACAUUCUUCUUGACUCGAGUUACAAUGCAAAGCUGUCUGAUUUUGGGAUGCCGAAGGAUGAACCAACCGUUGAUAAGAGCUUUUAUAUUGAUGAAUUGCCGAGCUACAAUGCAAAAAGGCUGUCUGAUCUUGGGUUGUCGACCGGUAAUACAGAGGACCCGACGGCUGAGAGCAACGUGUACAGUUUCGGGGUGGUUCUGCUGGAGAUACUGGCAGGCCGGCGCCGACUGGACAGGAACCGGCCAUCCGGUGAGCAAGACCUGGUGGAGUGGGCGCGACCGCACCUGAGGAGCAAGCGCCAGAUCUCCCACAUCCUGGACGCGCGGCUGGGCGGCCAGUACUCCCUCUCCGGCGCACAGAAGGCCGCCGCGCUGGCGCUCAAGUGCCUCUCUGGUAACUUGAGUGUCCGGCCGAGCAUGGAGCAGGUGGUUGCGGCACUGGAGCAGCUCCAGGACACCAAGGAGGCCGCAGUGAGUGAUCAGGGGAAGGCGAAUGGCGGUGGCGCCUGCGGCUUUGUCAAGAAGUUUGGUGGUAGCCGGCAGCAGCAACCAUAG